rnacentral:tRNA from 1 species
UGCUGGUUAGCUCAGUUGGUUAGAGCUUGGUGCUGAUAACACCAAGGUUGCGGGUUUGAUCCCGAUUCAGUCC